rnacentral:rRNA from 1 species
AUGUCUUCCGGGUCGUCGUCUCGGAGCACCUCCCCGAGCUCCGACUCGGGGUGGAGCAAGAAGGAGAACAAGAUGUUCGAGGAGGCGCUCGCCUACUACGGCGUGAGCGCCCCCAACCUCUGGGAGAAGGUGGCCAGCGCCAUGGGGGCACCAAGUCCGCCGAGGAGGUGCGCCGCCACUUCCAGAUCCUUGUCGAUGACGUCAACAGCAUCGAGCAUGGCCGCGUCCCAUUCCCCAAGUACAAGACCCAGGGCUUCUGGACCUAAUAAAAGGAUCGAUGAAGCAGUGUAA